GGCAAGAUGACUGAUAAAGGUGAUAAACUGUAAAUUUAUUUAUGAGAAAGAUCUCUCUUGCUA
rnacentral:tRNA from 1 species